GAUGAACGCUGGCGGCGUGCCUAAUACAUGCAAGUAGAACACUGAAGGAGGAGCUUGCUCUUCUGGAUGAGUUGCGAACGGGUGAGUAACGCGUAGGUAACCUGCCUGGUAGCGGGGGAUAACUAUUGGAAACGAUAGCUAAUACCGCAUGACAACAGUUAUUGCAUGAUAACUGUUUAAAAGGGGCAACUGCUCCACUACCAGAUGGACCUGCGUUGUAUUAGCUAGUUGGUGAGGUAACGGCUCACCAAGGCGACGAUACAUAGCCGACCUGAGAGGGUGAUCGGCCACACUGGGACUGAGACACGGCCCAGACUCCUACGGGAGGCAGCAGUAGGGAAUCUUCGGCAAUGGACGGAAGUCUGACCGAGCAACGCCGCGUGAGUGAAGAAGGUUUUCGGAUCGUAAAGCUCUGUUGUAAGAGAAGAACGAGUGUGAGAGUGGAAAGUUCACACUGUGACGGUAUCUUACCAGAAAGGGACGGCUAACUACGUG
rnacentral:rRNA from 1 species